CCGAGUUUACAACUCCCAAACCCCUGUGAACAUACCUUUAUGUUGCCUCGGCGGAUCAGCCCGCGCCCCCGUAAAACGGGACGGCCCGCCGCAGGAAACCCUAAACUCUGUUUUUAGUGGAACUUCUGAGUAUAAAAAACAAAUAAAUCA
rnacentral:misc_RNA from 1 species